rnacentral:tRNA from 1 species
GGGGAUGUAGCUCAAUCGGGAGAGCGUCUGCCCUGCAAGCAGAAGGUCGCCGGUUCGAUUCCGGCCGUCUCCACCA